UACAGAGGUCCCAAGCGUUGUUCGGAUUUACUGGGCGUAAAGGGCGCGUAGGCGGCCACCGCAAGUCGACUGUGAAAUCUCCGGGCUUAACUCGGAAAGGUCAGCCGAUACUGCGGGGCUAGAGUGCAGAAGGGGCAACUGGAAUUCUCGGUGUAGCGGUGGAAAUGCGUAGAUAUCGAGAGGAACACCUGCGGCGAAGGCGGGUUGCUGGGCUGACACUGACGUGAUUGUGCGAAAGCUAGGGGGAGCGAACGGGG
rnacentral:rRNA from 1 species